CCUCCCCCCAUUUUCCUCUUAUUUUUCUUUUUGUUCUUUUUCUUCUAUGUUCUUCUAUGCUUUCUUCUUCGUCUUCUUCAUUCUUCUUCUUGCGUCUUCGUCUUCUUCUUCUUCGUCUUCCUACAUCACCUUCCUCGGCCGUCCAGCGUGCUCCGCCGCACCCUUCAUCAACCCGUCGAUCGCGCUCCGCCGCUGCCCGCCGAUGUCCUCAAAUGCCAACCCUAAUUUUUCCCGUGUGUGAUACCCGCCAUUGAGGGACAACGUACUUUUAGGCAGAAGUCUAAGCGUCGAUCCAAGCUUGCUGCAUAAUAAUUUGAUUAGUCACGGCAGUAUGGCUAUAAUUGACAUUAUUUCAGGUUAUACCAUUAAUAUAGUAAAGGUUUUUUUCACGGCUGCUACCGUUCCGGAGGCUGCGCUAAUUCACGAACGAUAGCUGAAGUGCAAACACUCUGUGAGUUUGUCCACAUCGAGCCAAUCGACUGGACAUUCAAGGAUCUCGUUCGUCACGCAUAACUGCCGUGUAUGUUCACUUUGAUGCUGCGUGGGGCGAUGCAGCGUUGCAUGUAAUUCUAUGAUGAUAACUUUUGUUUGUGGAUUGAUACUGACUAAGUCCUUUACGUAGGUUGAACUUGCAUAUGUUGCUUCCUUUUGUGUGUUUGUUGCUAUUCUUUGCCUUUGGAUUGUAUAUGUUGGCUGUAUUGCGAACUAGUUAUGUUCCUAGACAGUGCUUACUUGGUGCUACUAAUGAUUGUAUUGCGAACUAGUUAUGUUUUUCGG